rnacentral:rRNA from 1 species
CCCUUAGAUGUCCUGGGCCGCACGCGCGUUACACUGAUGCAUUCAACGAGCUUAUAACCUUGGCCGAGAGGCCUGGGCAAUCUUGUUAACGUGCAUCGUGAUAGGGAUAGAUUAUUGAAAUUAUUAAUCUUGAACGAGGAAUUCCUAGUAAACGCAGAUCAUCAAUCUGCAUUGAUUACGUCCCUGCCCUUUGUACACACCGCCCGUCGCACCUACCGAUUGAAUGGUCCGGUGAAGCGUUCGGACCGUGGCCUUUGGACGGUUCGCCGUCUGUUGGCUGCGGGAAGUUCGUUAAACCUUAUCAUUUAGAGGAAGGAGAAGUCGUAACA